GACGAACGCUGGCGGCGUGCUUAACACAUGCAAGUCGAACGGAAAGGCCCUGCUUUUGUGGGGUGCUCGAGUGGCGAACGGGUGAGUAACACGUGAGUAACCUGCCCUUGACUUUGGGAUAACUUCAGGAAACUGGGGCUAAUACCGGAUAGGAGCUCCUGCUGCAUGGUGGGGGUUGGAAAGUUUCGGCGGUUGGGGAUGGACUCGCGGCUUAUCAGCUUGUUGGUGGGGUAGUGGCUUACCAAGGCUUUGACGGGUAGCCGGCCUGAGAGGGUGACCGGCCACAUUGGGACUGGGAUACGGCCCAGACUCCUACGGGCGGCAGCAGUGGGGAAUAUUGCACAAUGGGCGGAAGCCUGAUGCAGCAACGCCGCGUGCGGGAUGACGGCCUUCGGGUUGUAAACCGCUUUCGCCUGUGACGAAGCGUGAGUGACGGUAAUGGGUAAAGAAGCACCGGCUAACUACGUG
rnacentral:rRNA from 1 species